CAGAAGACUGAAGGCCCGCACUGCGGGAAGGGGGGGAAGGGGGGGUUGGCGGUGCUGCUUUGACAAAAGGAGGGCUCCAAUCGGGAAACCAGAUGCUGCUUCCGGACCAAAACGCUUAAGAACUUUGGCAGUCUCAAGAGCUCAGAGCUGGAGGUUGCAAUGUGUGGACAGUCACCGUGUCACCCCUCCCCUGCAGGAGAAGAUGUCACCAGCACCAAGGAGCAGAAGAGGUCCUGUCAUGUGACAAUACCACAGAAGGUGGACUGAUGGCCACAUUCAGAGGAGCGUCACUAAAGAGAGACUGAAGGAAAAGCCACCCAGAGACUUCCC